rnacentral:rRNA from 1 species
ACGCUCGACACCUACGGAAGGCAGCAGUGGGGAAUAUUGCACAAUGGGGGAAACCCUGAUGCAGCGACGCCGCGUGGAGGAAGAAGGUCUUCGGAUUGUAAACUCCUGUUGUUGGGGAAAAAGAGGAUGGUACCCAACAAGGAAGUGACGGCUAACUACGUGCCGCAGCCGCGGUAAUCUGAGCGGGCUGGCAAGGC